rnacentral:lncRNA from 1 species
GGAGAGAGAAGUUGGAGAGAGAGAAAUGUUGAAUUUAUCUUGAUUAAUGGGUUUCUUUUUUCUUUACAUUUUACAAAAAUAAAAUUUAACUGAUGUUGUUCCUAUUUAAUGAGAUUUAAUUAACUGAUGUUUCUUUUUUCUCAAUCUCAAUACUGAUUCAAACCAGAAACCACCCGGAGAACAUCCAUAAUUCUAGUUAUAAUAACCCUUGACAAUUGUGAUUGAGUUGUUUGGUGUCACCAACGAUGAAUCAGUUCAGAAGUGACAUAUAGACCUUAAUUAGAGAGUUUAAACUAUUUAACCUCUAAAUUUGACCAAGACAUUCAUAUACAUGUAAGCUAAGAGGCUAAAGAUUUGAUACAUACAAACCAAAACAUCAGCUAGAUAUACACCCAACAGCUGCCCAGUGAAUACUUCAAACGAUCUUUACAAUUUGAUUCUCCAAAAUGCCCAAACUGUUGUGAUAUGUAGGUGGUAUGUCUCCAAUCAGAACUUCAAAACCUAAUAAAAAACAAUUAGUCAAGUUAAACAGUAAUAGAGGCCUACUCUACCCUUUCUUAAAUUGAGGGUAUAUGUCCAUCAACCAAUAAGAACAAGCCACAUGAAUGGAUUUACAUGUGGUACCCACAAGAAACUUGUAACAAACUUUUGAAUUUGCACAUGUGGAGUUGCAUAUAGUUGUUCUCAUUGGUUGAUGUGCAUAUACCGUUGAUUUAUGAAAGCGUGGAUAAGAAAAAACCAAAAAAAAAAAAAACUAAUUGAAAAGAUUAAUAAGCAAAUAGAUUUCUCCAUGUUUCAAAAUAAUUGAAAAGAUUAAAAAUAAACCCUGUUUUGCUCUAUUGAAAGGAGAGUGCUCCUUUGGGGUAGCCUUGAGUACAAGGUUCAUAACUCUUUUCUCAAUUUUCUGAUUAAUCUUUAUUCGAGUUAGAAUCACUCUCUUGUCUAUUCAAUUUUGCUCAAUUUUGGGAAUUCCUUCCAUAUACCAAAAGAAAGGAUGGCA